rnacentral:rRNA from 1 species
AUGAGUACUCACGGUUGCUUUUCUCCCUCUUUUCCCCUUUCUAUAUCGGAUUGUCGCAAUCAGAUGUUGGAGUUCAGGAGCCAGACGCCACCGUCGACGACGACACCUACGACACUGGAGGUGCCUACUACUACGUGCAGGCCGCUGACGACGACCAGGAGUAGUUAUGAGGUCCCAGGCAGGAGGCCUUGCCUUUUCGAUCGUUGCUACUUUUGUGCUAGCCUUCUUAAGGCAAACUUGUUUAACUUAUGUCUGUACUCAGAUAUUGUUGCUUCCGCUGACUCGUCUAUGAUCGAGCACUUGUAUUCGAGCCCUCGAGGCCCCUGGCUUGUAUUAUAA